rnacentral:pre_miRNA from 1 species
GGGUUGAAUGUGAGAAUUGGAUGAAACUGAACCAUCUUUUUCUCAUCCAUGGUCAAUGAGGGUUCAAUUUCCUCCAAUAUCUCAUCUUCAACCA